GCGUUGGUGGUUCAGUGGUAGAAUUCUCACCUCCCACACGGGUGACCUGGGUUCGAUUCCCAGCUAAUGUA